GUGAGGAAUCUUCCGCAAUGGGCGAAAGCCUGACGGAGCAAUGCCGCGUGAGGGAGGAAGGCCUGUGGGUCGUAAACCUCUUUUCUCGGAGAAGAAUUUUUGACGGUAUUCGAGGAAAAAGCAUCGGCUAACUCUGUGCCAGCAGCCGCGGUAAUACGGGGGAUGCAAGCGCUAUUCGGAAUUAUUGGGCGUAAAGGGCCCGUAGGUGGUUUUACAAGUCUGUUGUUAAAUGGCAGGGCUUAACCCUGUAAUGGCGGCGGAAACUGUAAAACUUGAGUACGGUAGGGGCAGGGGGAAUUCCCGGUGUAACGGUGAAAUGUAUAGAUAUCGGGAGGAACACCUAAAGCGAAGGCACCCUGCUAGGCCGAUACUGACACUCAGGGGCGAAAGCUGGGGGAGUGAAUCGG
rnacentral:rRNA from 1 species